UACGUAGGGCGCAAGCGUUGUCCGGAAUUAUUGGGCGUAAAGAGCUCGUAGGCGGUCUGUUACGUCUGCUGUGAAAACCCAGGGCUUAACCCUGGGCUUGCAGUGGAUACGGGCAGACUAGAGGCAGGUAGGGGAGAAUGGAAUUCCCGGUGUAGCGGUGAAAUGCGCAGAUAUCGGGAGGAACACCGGUGGCGAAGGCGGCUUUCUGGACGAUAACUGACGCUGAGACGCGAAAGCGUGGGGAGCAAACAGG
rnacentral:rRNA from 1 species